rnacentral:rRNA from 1 species
UACGUAGGCAGCAAGCGUUGUUCGGAAUUACUGGGCGUAAAGAGUUCGUAGGCGGUCUGCCAAGUCCGAUGUGAAAUCUCCCGGCUUAACUGGGAGGGUGCGUUAGAUACUGGCAGGCUUGAGUAUAGGAGAGGAAAGCGGAAUUCCUGGUGUAGCGGUGAAAUGCGUAGAUAUCAGGAGGAACACCUGUGGUGUAGACGGCUUUCUGGACUAUAACUGACGCUGAGGAACGAAAGCGUGGGUAGCAAACAGG